AGAGAAGUGAGGGUGCACGGUGAAAACCUAGCCACCAAUCCCUCGCAUCCCUGAACAACCAAUCCGUCCGCUCCCCUCUUCCCCUGCCCUCCUCUGCGACGCCGCCUCCUCCCCUUCCCUCCUCUGCGUCGCCUCCUCCUCCCCUUCUCCCCUGCUCUCCACUGCACCGCCUCCUCCUCCCCUUCACUUUUCUCUCCCGGGGCGGCAACAACCUACAGGCAAAAGGCGACGGCGAUGUCGCUCAAUUUGAUCUGCAGGAGAGAGAGAAGGAAGGAGAGGAGGGAGAAAGGAAGAGGAAAGAGAAAAGGGAGGUGCGGCGACGGAUGGGUGAGGGUCACCGGAAGGAGCGCCGCCGGCUCGUCGCCUUUCACACCGAGGUGGAGCAAAUAUGUCUCUGUACAGCCCUCAUGCUCGCAGCUGUCGGCUGCAGGGGCCUUGCGAGAAGUGGAAGGUAGAGGUCGUACGCCAGCCGGAGCAACAGGAGCAAGGAUCUGGCGUCAUCUGCCUCCCGGUUGCACAACACCACUGCAUCUCCUUCCUGUUGUUGUUGGCGGCAUCCGCCUCUCAGUUGCAUGCUGCCACUGCAUCUCCUUCCUGUUUUAUUUUUAGAUUUUACAUGUUCAGCUAUAGGUUGGCUUGAUCUCUUGUGUCAGGGAGGUGCGAGGUUAGGCAUUUAGGCAAUGGCAGCCACAGUUUCAGUGAAGGAUGUCCAUGCCAUGUGCAAUGAGGGAUAGGCCAUCAGCACAACCGUCCUUUGGGUCCUGAUGAAAGUCACUGUCGGUGGCAGGGAAUUCGUUGCCGGAUGCGUCCUAUAUGUGAUGGGUGUGUUCCCAUCCAGUCGUUGGUGGGCUUGAUGUGCCCGUCGAUUCGACGAUCCGCGGGCCGAGCUCAGCUUCUCAGUGGCGGACUGAUGUUCUAUGGUAGUGGCAGUCAUUGUAUGUGGUGGUGCGGUUGCUGAUGUACAGGAGGCGUCCAUGGUGUCAGUUCUCCAUCGUCCAUGCUUAUCUUCUGUAUGCUCUAGCAGCCAGGUGGCUCAAGAAAUAGAAGACGCUCAUGUUCAUGUACGCUUAGAUUUUGCAUGGAGCUGAAGAAAUGAUCUGAACUUUAUGUUCUGCUGCUGACAAAUGACGAAUGCCGAAUAUAUGUAUCCAGUUGGUCCCUCAUCGCCGGGAGGACGGGCGAGGAGGUCGAGGCCCACUGGGGUUCACGAGGAGGCGCACGGGCGGCAAUCACUACAACCAUCAUGUGCUACUGCAGGCUUUCCUAGCCUCGUCACAUGAUCAACACGGCGAGCAUCGGCAAAGGGCAGUGCCAAACCAAGUACGCGAGGAGCGCCCGGGCCGUCCUUCACCCUCCAACAAUGGCGACAACGACUGUGCGUCAUGGGACGAACAUGGAGCUCACCCUCUCUACGCCGUGCAUCACAUCUACUUAAUUUGGAGGGUUACACCGGGUGUUUAUAUACUUCGGUCGAUGGUUUCCGUGCCUUGAGGAACAAUCCUAUUAUUGUACUAUGCGUACUGACUAUAUAUGUAUGACGCAUAAAUCCUCACAAGUUGGAACCCAUCACUGCUCAUGCUCGACCGUGACUCCACGCGCAAGGUCCGCCUAGCCACGCGUAGGUCACGCCGCCGGCUGUCGAGCCUCCUGUUCCACCCUGCAGUGUGUUCGAACAGCCGAAGCUGAGUAUGCGAAGAUUCAUCCCUGGCCCAUCCUUGUUCAACGCAUGGAAGCAAUGACUGCUGCUGGCUUUGAAGCUGGUUGAGGUUGCUGCUUGCCGUUGGUUGGAGCCUUGUAGGUAGAGGCCUUGCGGUGGUCCAAGAUUCUUACAUAGUGUUGUGCCUGGUUUCUUCUUGAAGGAUUUGCUGCGAAAGCUGGGAAUGUUAAGAGGAAUCUGCUUUGAGAGGUGUCGUAGUCUGAGAGGAAACGAUUUCUUCUAGGCCAGUGGUGUUCCUUUGCGCUAUAGCCAGUGCGCUAUCUCCUAGAACCUAUCAUGGAGGAGGUUGACAUCACAGACAAGUUCAUGCUUGAGGUCAUUUUCAUUAAGCUGCAGCUCGCGCAACCACUAUUUUUACUACUGCAAAGUUGGACAGAGUUUUGCAGUAACAAUCAAGUUCCGUCCCAGCACGCGGCAUCAGCAACAUGAUGCUGAAGCAAUGGCAUUAUCCGGAUAUUCAUCUAAUUCCAUAGAAGUUGCAACGGAUGUUGCAGCGGCUCGAGUUAUCAGAUACAUGGAGGCUGUGUGUGCCAAGGUGCUCAAGGACUAUAGUUACAACAAAUUGAAACAAACAAAGGAAAGAGAAUUGCAUCUAAUUGGUUUGUUAAUAGACAAAGAAAAGUAGAUCAAAGAGCAGAAUUGGAAGAUCAGAGAGCUUAGCAAAGGCUUUGCAGACAAUAUGUAUCAAGUUAAAACACUUUUGCUGGGAUUCAUCACAUAGCUAAAGACGGUGUAUACUCAACCAGUUCUACAAACGGCAAUGGCACCACAAGGCUGCUGUAGAUGUGCAGAAUGAACUUGCUCAUCUGCAGUAUGCAGUUGAUUGACUAAUGACUAUCCAGCUGAUUCGAAACACAUUGGUUUAUCCCUUUUAAAUAGAGUCUACUUCCAUAGCCUAUGUACCUUUGGAAGAUGCUUACCGGCUAUAACAACUUUAUUUAAAUGACCAGCGAUACCGCCUGCAUCUUACCGUGCUAACUAAUUAGCCUGUGAAGUUUUGUGUAUAGGUUCACCCAAAGAACAUGUUUACUUUUGGCAGUACUCUCUGGUCAUCAUGUUUACUCUACUAAGCUACCUAAAUAGCCUAUGAAGCUUUGUGUGUAUAGCUUCACCCUAAGAACCCGUUUGCUUUUGGCACUACUCUCUGGUCAUAUAUAAAUUUUGAAUGCAUGAUACUAUGUUGUAUCCAUGUGAUAUAUCUAUGCCGACUGAGUCUAC
rnacentral:rRNA from 1 species